GGAGCUGCGGCGGCGGCGGCGGGCGGGCGGCGGGAGCGUCCGCGGGCCCCGGAGCAGCUGGAAAGACCGAACCCACAGGGCGAGGGGUGCUGAAAUUAAAAAAGGACAACAUCAAGGUUGUGAGGUGGCACAGAGGGACUAUUCAUCCCCAGAUAGUCCCCCCCACCGAGGAGUUACGCUGCAUGAGGAGCCCCUUGGCACAGCUGGCAGGAACUAACAUCUUCCACUUCUCAAAGCCAUCUGGGACGUGUCUACAAGGACCUCUUGAGAAGAAACCAGCUCCUUGACUAGAAGCUAAGCAGGAUGGAAGGAAGCUCUGCUAGAAAUCACCGAGCGCCUGUUUGGCUUCAGAUCGCCACAUUGCAGCUCAUGCAAACUCUGCUGCCUCAGAUGUGGGGAGGGACAAGUGAUGACACUUGGAGCAAGCUCUGGGAAGCCGAACAGCAACUGAGAAUGCCAUGUCGUGGUAACGGCUGCUCACCUCACUCACAUCUGAUCCCGUAACUGUCAAAUAAUGAAAAAAAAAAACCCUGUUCCCUGUCCAUUUUUGCAUUUCACACCUCCAUUUCUGGCUGCCCACCUGCUUUAGCCACAGGAAGAACUGUAUGAGAGAAGUGAAACAUUUCCCCUUGCAGCUUCAGCACCAGAUAAGGUCUAUUGCACAGUCUUCCAGAUGUUUGUUGGUCUAUUUGCAAUAAAUAGGUCAUGCAGGUUGGCAGGAACAGGUGGCAAAAUUUACUGUAUCAUCCCUUUCAACUUUUUUUUUUUUUCAUUAAAAAUACAGCUACCAACAUUUGCUAUGCUAUUGGAAAGAUGUCUUAGAGCAAGACACUGCAAACACUCCAGUUUUUCAUAUUUUCUCUCUGUACUAUUUAGACCUCAUAAUCUAUGACAAUUUCAUCUCCAUUUUGCUUCUCUAUUUUUUUCCUCUCAGAGUAGCUCAUCUUAAAUUCCAGAAACAUGCAACCCCGAGGCAGACACAUCCCAACAGCCUCUUAGAUGGAGACUGAUGCAAAAUGAUAAUUUGUCUCAUUAGGAAUCUUAUUUUUUGCUCCUGGUAAUAUCAGACAAAUUUCUAAAUCAUGAAGAUGUGCUUUUGCUGAAACAGCAUCUUGAAAAAUUUUAUUUCAGCCAUAUUUAUUUAUUCUUUGUUUUCCUAGUGUCCUUUUAUUCAGUGAUAUUCAUGUCUCCUAAAUUAUAAUUUCUCCUAAUAGCAUUUAAAAGAGCUUUGUUUCUUUUAACUUUAGGACCUAUCAUUUACUUAGUCUCCUUUUUUUUUUGAAAUCUCCUUUUCCAAGAUUAGUGGCAAAGCAUCACAUUUUGGUGUCCUUCCUUUUCAACAGUGAAUGUAAUUUGUCUGUCCUGUGACUCAGCUACUGUUGCUCUGGAAUUACCUUCUGUGCAUUAUUUAAGAGAUGCACAUGAUGUUUUUAGUAAUGUUCACUCAUUCUAACAGUAUCAAUUUCAAAGUAGAUUAAAACACAGUAAGAUGCCACAUAAUUUAAAAAAAUCUGUAUACUGAAAAAAAGAAGAGAAUUUUAAAACACUUCAUUGACAAGUCUUAAAACCAAUUGGUUUUCUUGGGGGGCAAUUUAGAGCUACUAGUUGGUCCAUGGGGUAAUAUUAAAACUGACAAAUUUCCCCUAAAGCAGUGGGCCCAAGGCAUACAGUGUUGCAGUAUGACACCCCUGUAGUACGUCCUUUCUCCAGGAAAUUGCUCAUUGGAUGGUUCUGAUUUCAGAAUCUACUUCCUUUAGGUUCAAAUUCAUAAAAAUUUUAAAACAGCUCUUCUCUAAGAGUUUUCACCCUUCACAGGAAAUUGUACAUCAAUUUAACAAAAAACGUCCAAAUGCAAGUACUUGUAUUCAGGGGCCACUAAAGACGCUGAAGAAAGGCAGCAUUCACAAAGCGCAACUUUAGUCCAGUGAAGCUCAUCUUCCGCACGCCCUUUGCAGUUCACGGAGAAAGGCCAGGUCCUCCAGAGGAUGUUUCAGAGCAGCAAGCUGGUGUCUGAAAUCACGUGAGAAAAACCCCACACAGUUCUCUGCAUUCACUACAGAACAUCCUUCCUCCCAGCUUUUCAAAUCUGUGUGUCUGAAACGGGGCUGACAUAAACCCUACGUUUGGCAAGGUGCAGCGUCCGUGCUCCCACAGUCCAUUGCCUUCCACGUUACUUCCCCCACCUGGUCAGUGUGGAAAAGCAGGCCACCCUCAGCCAGGGGCAGAAGAGGAAAGGACGAGCUUCGCUUUGGGUACACAGGUGUGGAAAAACAUGGCUUUUUGCUUUUCAGGGCAUGAGGUGUUCUUUCUAAAGCCACGCAGGUGGGUGCACCGUUAAGCAGCUUCCCUGCGGAGGCUGGCGUGCAGGAGCAGCAGUGUGGCUCCCGCGGACGGUGAGCAGAGCUCUGUGCUAGGGCGCUCCGGUUAAUGAACUGAAAACAUUAUUAACUAAGCCAAUACCAGCCUAAUGGGAAAUCUGUCUCCACAUAUGUUGCAUAAUUUUUAUAUUAUUGAACCAACUAGGAAUUGUUUAAUCAACAAAGCCAGCAGGAAACCUUCAAACAGCAGGAGAGUGAAGAGACACGCGCUUGUUUGCCGAUUAAUUUUGUGCAUGCUCAAGCCUCUCAGGUUUCCCGUCCUGAACAGGGCUUUCCAAUUCUCAUUGAGCGACAUCUUCAGUUUCUCUAGGAGGAUUUUCUGUGGUCAGCUGCGGGCUAACAGUUUGUGUCUACAUCCACCACUUUCAUCACCAUGCUUCCCUUGUGACCAGCUGCAUUACAGGAGCUGUUGCUCAGUCAACUUGGAUCUCACUAAUAACGACCACAAGAUCAUUUGGACAUGUAUUUUCUGUUCAGAAGGACUGAAGAUUUUUUCUGCAUUGGAGCAGUUUCCUGACCCAGCUGUGACUAUUUUAUAGGAAAGACUAAACCUGAAGGCAAGAGACAUGCUUGCACUCUCCCAUGAGAACUCCUGCAUGAGAAGAAAACUGUAUUUUUAAAUUCUGAUGUACAUUGAUUGAUCCAUUUCUAUGCUUAAGUCAAAGUAUGGUCAAUAUGCCUGAAUUUUAAAAUACUUCUCUAAAUACCUGGGUUUGUUCCUGUUAAGAGAGAAGCUGCUGCCCGAGCAUUCACACACCGAUCAGGGUGUCACACACACACUACCCGAGACUUUAACUGCUAGGACCGGGGUCCCUUCGCAGCGGGCGACUCCAGUGAGCCGACGGGUGCCCCUUCUGACUCCUCACACGGACACACACACACACACACUCUCACCCUCGGGCGCUGCUUCUUCCCUCAGGCUCGACCCUACGUUCCCUGAAGCAGAGACUCCAACACGACGUAUGUCAGAGGAAUUUAUUGAGUGGUACAGUGGUAUAGGACAGCUCGAGCUGGGGGCCUCCAGAGAGGGACCCCAAACAAAGAAAUCUCUGGGCAAUUAUCCUUUACAAUCCAAGUUCCCCUCCCCUCACACAACGGUUCAGUCCAAUAGUAAUAUUUGGAUCCGGGGUCGUCUUGUUCCUCACUGGAUCCCUUUUCAGUCUCCAGGCGGGCUGUUCCUUUUCUUAUCUUGAGGAUGCAGCUUCUGCUGACAGAUGUGGCUACUUUAUUUUUCACAGGAUGCACCUUCUCGGGGCCUCCCUUCAUGUAACUAAGUAUAAGUUCAGCAUAAGCUCACCGCUUGUGGCCUAAGGCUUCAGCAAGUCUUUCUACUAAUGCUAUACAAUGGAUUUUGUUUGAGCUAGGAAGUAACUAUACAAUGGAUUCAGUUUUAAACUACUGUAACCGUUCCCAUUCUAGCCCUUCAUCGGGCAGUGAUCCUUUUUUGUUAUAUGCACUGGACUUGUGAAGUGCCGUGAAACUGCAAUCCAUGGCCUGGCUUGUUUAUCUUAGUGUCUCAUCUCUGCUUUCUAGAUAACUCAAGUGUAAUCUGUGAACUCUUCGGAGCCAAGACAUUGUCUGGUAUCUACACAAAAUUCCACGAGCUCUGAGACACCUUGGAGUCCAGAAACAAAACAUCUACAAUUCCUAAAAUUAUAAAAACCUCACAUAUUCUCCACCAAAAGCUUGAAAUUAGGAAUGAACGUAUUGUUCACCCUUUUAAUAAUACCUGGUUCAACAGACAAACCAACACAUCCUGACGAUACCCGAGUUCAGAUCAGGUGCUGCCAUGUUUCCAGGCGUGAUCAGUGGCAACCUGUCUGAGCCCUGAAAGGAAACAAUACACUGGAGGAGAUCGAGGAAAUCAGAGAUUUGCUUUUGAUGCAGUCAUAUAACAUGAUGAUAAAACUUUUCUUUUUCAGUUCUUAUAUGCAGAAUAUGUACUCCUCAUUGUUGCUUAUUUUGUUAAAACCCACCAACUUGGUUUGACUCCAGUGGGAGUUUUGCUUUUAGAAAGAGGCUUGCAUAAAUUGAGACACCAAAAUUAAUUUCUAGAAACAACCAAUGACUUUCUCUUAGUUCUAGUAUAUCACACUGCAUUUUUACCUUGCUUCUUUUAGAAAUGAAGAAUAAAUGUUCUUAAACAAUAAUCUUAAACUAAACAAACUGAAAGAAAUGUAAAAAAUGUUGUUAUGGGGAUACAACUAAAAUUCUGUAAAUGAGUUUUAUGCUGUAAAUGACUUGUACUCACCCUUGUGUAUCCUUUAGAAAUACGCUAAAUCAAUUUUUGAGACUUCUGCAA